rnacentral:rRNA from 1 species
AUGUUGAUGGGCCGCCCCGAAGAGGAGGUGUCCGGAUCAUCAAGUGAUCUCCUGCAAGGGCUGUCGCAAUUGCACGAGCAAGCUCGGCAGGCAAUGCGGAGUGUAGCCAAGGCCUUAUGGCCAUCCGACUCCCCUCCAGGGAGUAUGGAGAAGCUUGUAGAGCUAUUCAAGGGAGCGCGGCGGCAUAUCCGACUAUGGAAGAUAUCGGCUUGCCGAGAGGGUGCGCGAGAAGCCUGGGCCAUGGUAAAAACACGAUAUACCAAGCUGGAUCCGAAUCACAAGGCCCGGGUCAGACCACUAAGGUCAAAUGGGGAAGAAAUUCCCGUUAGUUUAGUAUAUAACCAAGUAGAAGUAGCCGCCAAGUAUUCCCAGCAGGAUUGUAAGUUAGAUAGCCUGCUGGACAGCAUAGAGGAGGAAAUUUUUUGA